CCUACGGGAGGCUGCAGUCGAGAAUCAUUCACAAUGGGGGAAACCCUGAUGGUGCGACGCCGCGUGGGGGAAUGAAGGUCUUCGGAUUGUAAACCCCUGUCAUGUGGGAGCAAAUUAAAAAGAUAGUACCACAAGAGGAAGAGAUGGCUAACUCUGUGCCAGCAGCUGCGGUAAUACAGAGGUAUCAAGCGUUGUUCGGAAUCACUGGGCGUAAAGCGUGCGUAGGCUGUUUCGUAAGUCGUGUGUGAAAGGCGCGGGCUCAACCCGCGGACGGCACAUGAUACUGCGAGACUAGUGUAAUGGAGGGGGAGGCGGAAUUCUCGGUGUAGCAGUGAAAUGCGUAGAUAUCGAGAAGAACACUCAUGGCGAAGGCGGGUUCCUGGACUUUAACUGACGCUGAGGCACGAAGGCCAGGGGAGCGAAAGGGAUUAGAUACCCGAGUAGUC
rnacentral:rRNA from 1 species